rnacentral:rRNA from 1 species
GAUCAACGCUGGCGGCGUGCCUAAUACAUGCAAGUCGAGCGAAGCGGGGACGGGGGAGUAACACGUGGAUAACCUCCUAUAAGACUGGGAUAACUUCGGGAAACCGGAGGUAAACCGGAUAAUUAUAGAUGGAUCCGCGCUGCAUUAGCUAGUUGGUAAGGUAACGGCUUACCAAGGCAACGAUGCAUAGCAGACUGGAGAGGGCGAUCGGCCACACUGGAACUGAGACACGGUCCAGACUCCUACGGGAGGCAGCAGUGGGGAAUCUUCGGCAAUGGGCGAAACCCUGAUGCAGCAACGCCGCGUGUGUGAUGAAGGUCUUCGGAUCGUAAAACUCUGUUAUCAGGGAAGCGGUACCUAAUCAAAAAGCCCCGGCUAACUACGUGCCAGCAGCCGCGGUAAUUC